UGAAUACGAGAUGCUACGGCGUCGAAGCAGUCUAUGUCAUACUUCCAAGAAAAGCUUGCACUGUCAUAAACAAAUAAUGCCUGUACCAUAACCGACACAGGUGGGUAGGUAGAGUAUACUAAGGGGCGCGAGAUAACUCUCUCUAAGGAACUCGGCAAAAUGACUCCGUAACUUCGGGAGAAGGAGUGCCUUAUUUAUAAGGUUGCAAUAACAAGAUCCAAGCAACUGUUUACCAAAAACACAGGUCUCCGCUAAGUCGUAAGACGAUGUAUGGGGGCUGACGCCUGCCCAGUGCCAGAAGGUUAAAGAAGUUGGUUAGCAUCCGCGAAGCUGAUAACUGAAGCCCUGGUGAACGGCGGCCGUAACUAUAACGGUCCUAAGGUAGCGAAAUUCCUUGUCGGGUAGGUUCCGACCCGCACGAAAGGCGUAAUGAUUUGGAUACUGUCUCGGAGAGGGGCUCGGUGAAAUAGACUUGUCUGUGAAGAUGCGGGCUACCUGCACCAGGACAGAAAGACCCUAUGAAGCUUUACUGUAACCUGAAAUUGAAAUUGGACUUUACUUGCGCAGUAUAGGUGGGAGGCGUUGAGAAUAUUCUUGCGGGAUUAUUGGAGCCAUCAGUGAGAUACCACUCUUGUAAUGUUAGAUUUCUAACUUUGUAUCAUUAUCUGGUCAAAGAACAGUUUCAGGCGGGCAGUUUGACUGGGGCGGUCGCCUCCUAAACGGUAACGGAGGCGCACAAAGGUUUCCUCUGAACGGGUAGAAAUCGUAUCUAGAGUGUAAAGGCAUAAGGAAGCUUGACUGUGAGACCUACAAGUCGAGCAGGGACGAAAGUCGGUCUUAGUGAUCUGACGGUGCUGAGUGGAAAGGCCGUCACUCAACGGAUAAAAGUUACUCUAAGGAUAACAGGCUGAUCUCCCCCAAGAGUUCACAUCGACGGGGAGGUUUGGCACCUCGAUGUCGGCUCAUCGCAUCCUGGGGCGGUAGUACGUCCCAAGGGUUGGGCUGUUCGCCCAUGAAAGCGGUACGCGAGCUGGGUUCAGAACGUCGUGAGACAGUUCGGUCCAUAUCCGGUGUAGGCGUUAGAAUAUUGAGAGGAGCCUUCUUUAGUACGAGAGGACCGAGAAGGACAUACCUCUGGUGUACCAGUUAUCGUGCCAACGGUAAACGCUGGGUAGCUAUGUGUGGAGUGGAUAACCGCUGAAAGCAUCUAAGUGGGAAGCCCACCUCAAGAUAAGUA
rnacentral:rRNA from 1 species